GGGGAUUUAGCUCAGUGGUAGAGCACUUGCCUAGCAAGCACAAGGCCCUGGGUUCAGUCCCCAGCUCCG
rfam:Rattus norvegicus chromosome 4, whole genome shotgun sequence.